GACGAACGCUGGCGGCGUGCUUAACACAUGCAAGUCGAACGGAAAGGCCCUGCUUUUGUGGGGUGCUCGAGUGGCGAACGGGUGAGUAACACGUGAGUAACCUGCCCUUGACUUUGGGAUAACUUCAGGACACUGGGGCUAAUACCGGAUAGGAGCUCCUGCUGCAUGGUGUGGGUUGGUAAGUUUGGGCGGUUGGGGAUGGACUCGCGGCUUAUCAGCUUGUUGGUGGGGUAGUGGCUUACCAAGGCUUUGACGGGUAGCCGGCCUGAGAGGGUGACCGGCCACAUGGGGACUGAGAUACGGCCCAGACUCCUACGGGAGGCAGCAGUGGGGAAUAUUGCACAAUGGGCGGAAGCCUGAUGCAGCAACGCCGCGUGCGGGAUGACGGCCUUCGGGUUGUAAACCGCUUUCGCCUGUGACGAAGCGUGAGUGACGGUAAUGGGUAAAGAAGCACCGGCUAACUACGUGCCAGCCGCCGCCGUAA
rnacentral:rRNA from 1 species